rnacentral:lncRNA from 1 species
AUAUGGAUGUCCAAUUGUUCUAGUAAUAUUUGUUGAAAAGACUCUUUUUUUCUUCAUUGAACUACCUUUAUACCUUUGUCAAAAAUCAGUUGACUAUAGCUGUGUCACUUUAUCUCUGGGUUCUAUAGUCUGUUUCAUUGAUUUAUGUAUUUAUUAUUUUGUCAAUAUUAGGCUACUUGAUUACUGAGGCUUUAUAGUAAGUUUUGAAACUUGGUAGUGUGAGUCCUCGAAUUUUACUCUUCUUUUUCAGUUUUGAGUUGACUAUUCUAUGUUUGGAUCUGUAUUUUUGACUUUGUCUUUUUCAGACACACCAUAACUGAACAAUUGCUAAGCAUAGUGAGCUUUACAGUAUGUAAUAUUAGGUAAAUGUGUUUGAGAAAGAGGAAUAGAGGUGUUCCAGAGGUCCCUUGCUAAGAAAUCAUGAAAAACACAGGAAGAUUUGUUGAAAAAAAACAUAAGGAAGUGCAGAAAAUUUAUGAGGUUUGAUAGCCUAAGCCACUGUGGAAAAUGUGGAGUUGUUAACAUUGUCAUCCUACAUGACACAUUUCAUCCAUAAUUACCAGUCAAAAGAUCUAGUUGGGUCAAUGUUCGAAAUUGUGAAUCUACUCACUAGAACCAAAACCUCUUCCAACAUUAUGAUUAUGACAAAGAUCUCAUUUUACUAGAAUUAACAUACACAAUCUUUCAAGUAAGCCUAUCCUUCAAAAAUAGAAUAACCAAAAAUGUUGGGAUUUUGAUAAAAAAUAAUGUUUGUGACAAAAACAACUAAGAGAUAAGAUAGUUGUCACAUUCUAUACUAGUUUUUUUUCAGUGAAGAAAUUUUAACUUGUUGCUAAGAUGAACAAGUGCCCUAUACCUAUUCCUGACGUGUCUGGAAAAAUUGAGUAAAUCAGGGAAAAGGAAUCAUGACAGAAGAUGCCUCUAAAUAUUUUAAGAGUUUCUUCAGCUUAAGGGGCAAUUCAAAGCUGUCACAUAUUUAAUGUUCCUGCUUCCAAAUUAGUUUAAGUAAUCAGAAUGAUGGAUUUUCAAACAAGCCAGAAAGCUCAGGGAAUUUUAUUUUUAUCACCAUUUAAAAAGAAACAAUGUUCAUUUCUUCCUUUGAGUAAUAUAAAUUUUAGUGUCUUCUUUCUUGAACUAAGUGUUUCAGAAUCCUCAGGAAAUGUUAAGUGUUAGAACUAAAACAAUAUGACAUUAAAAUAAUCUGUGGGGGAGUUCCCAUGGUGGUGCAGCAGAAAAGAAUCCGACUAGGAAGCAUGAGGUUGUGGGUUCGAUCCCUGGCCUCGCUCAGUGGGUUAAAGAUCUGGUGUUGUGGUGUAGGUCACAGACGCAGCUCGGAUCUGGCGUUGGCUGGCAGCAACAGCUCCGAUUAGACCCCUAACCUGGGAAUUUCCAUGUGCCAUGGCUGCAGCCCUAAAAGGUCAGAAGACAUAAAUAAAAUAAAAUAAAAUAAUCAGUGGGGAUCCCACUUAAAAUAACUUGAUCUCUAUUUAAGGAAAACCAUCUAUCCAGUAUCUUCCUCAGGAGACAAUAUGGCAAAGUAGCAUUUUAUAGUCAAUUAUCUAACAUCUCAUUUCCUUGUUCCUCCAAAACACAUGAACUCUUUCUUAUAGGUUCUAUAAUUGGAACUUUUUUCUGUUGGAUGCUAUUAAAAUUUCCUUUGUGUGUUCUAAUUUGGAAGUAACAGUGUUAGUGCUGGUGGCCUCUAAAUUAGGAUGGCAUUUAUUUUCAAAUGCGUUUGGGAGAGGAUUCAAUUUCUUUAAAAGAAAUUAGGAUGAGUCCUUUCUUUAGUACAGACUAAUACAAAACUCAUUUUGAAAGUAGCAUGUAGCAUGACAUGGGUAAUAAAUACUAGCUUGCUUUUACCUUUUUGAUACAAUUGUAAGCCAACAGGAGUUUUACUUUAUCCCCUAAUCAGCUAAGCAUAUGUCAUUUUAGCAGAGGUUCUUUUACUUAUUUACCUCAUUCAUUCACUGAUAACGACUUUAGGCUAAGAAAAAAAAAAUCUGCUGCUUCUUACUAAUAGUAACAAGGGUAGAAAGGAUUUAUAUAUCAAGAUAUUUAGUAGAUAUUAAUACAAUGUAGGCAAAUUUCACUUGGGCAAUACAAUUAUGUCACAUAUUUAUCAAGGCCUAAAUUUUACUUCCUAGUUACUGCCUAGUGAUGAUGUAGAGUCUUCUGUUUGCUUGCAAAGUACCCCAAGUGUUCCUAGGAUAUCUCUCAUAUUAAAUGUCUAUCAUAUUUAUUCUAUUAAAUUCCAACAACAACUACAAAAAACCAUGCUCUCCUACUGUUCUAUCUAACAAAGCAAUUCUUUGCUGAUGACUACUGCUGCCCUAUCGAGCACUGGUGGGAACUUAAUACCAUCACAUGCUGUUCCUCUGCAUUUCACAGUCCCUCCUACAGCUCUGCCAGGUGCAGAGUUUUCCAGAGACAACCACACGUAGCUCUCAAGGGGCCCAAGUUACACGGCGGCCCAUAGCAGGGAGGAUGAGAUGGCUCCCUCUGAUUUUUCUAACUUACUCUGAAUGCAGUGCCAAAGAUGUUUGGGAUCCAGAGGGUUAAAGAUUUUAGUGAAACAGCUCUUUGAGUUUUUACUUAAAGCCAUUUAGUUUUCUCUUCCUGGGGCCCAGAAAUGUGUCCAGGGUCUUAGACUCAAGGCAGAUUGAAUAAUAACCACUGAGCUAUAUUCAAAAUCCUUAUUAUUCUGCCAGCAGAAAACAUGACUGUAUCUCAAGCUGAGAAUCUCUAUGGUCAAUUAGAGGGAAUUCCCAGGUUAGGGGUUGAUUCAGAGCUGCAGCUGCUGGCCAAUGCCACAGCCACAGCAAUGCUGAGCCAUAAUGGAAACUCCAUACAGAGGAAUAAUAUUUAAAUUGAAUAUUGAUAAUGUUUGAAUUGAAGUUUACAGAAGGAUAAUAUUUGAAUUUUAAACUAUUGUAUUUUUUAUUCAACAGUUCUUUGUUACUCCUUCCAUUUCUUUCUAUCAUUAAAAUGAUAUCACAGAACUUCCAGUUUCCAGUCCAACAUAUAAGGAGCUUGGAAGUUGCCACUCCAUCCUGACAAUAAGUAAAAAGCUGAACAAAAGGAAAAAUCAAAAACUCUUUGUCCACCUGUCAGAGAAGUGAGGUCAUGGGGCAAACCACUGUUCCCCAAAUUAGAGAGACAUACAGACCAAUACAAAGAAUCACAACUUAGGAGAGCAGAAACCCACAAGCCGAAACCUCAGGCCAGGGUAGGAACACCAAAAUUGUCAGUGUUGAAUUUCUGGAAGCUCAGUGUGGACAAUUCUGAUAGUUAAAACCUCCAGGGAGAUCCAGGCACAGAAACGGUCCUGAUACUUCGAGGGUUUUUAACUCUAGUAGGAGACCUACCAGGUUCUCAUAGUGACUUUGGGGGAAAUACCUUUAUGCUUCCAGCAGGGGGAGAGGAAUGGGAACCAUUGUGAAAAAGCCAGAGCAUCCUAUUCUUAAAAAGGCCUACCCUCAAGAGAAAUUAUUUUGGCAGGGCAUAAACUAUUGGAGUUUUAUCAGAGUCUAACACAUCUGGGGGUAGGUAAAUACCCAACUUCAUCCCACUUGAGC